UACGUAGGGGGCUAGCGUUGUCCGGAUUUAUUGGGCGUAAAGAGCGUGUAGGCGGCCUGGGAGGUCUGCUGUGAAAACUCGAGGCUCAACCUCGAGAUGUCGGCGGAAACCAUCUGGCUAGAGUCCGGAAGAGGAGAGUGGAAUUCCUGGUGUAGCGGUGAAAUGCGCAGAUAUCAGGAAGAACACCUAUGGCGAAGGCAGCUCUCUGGGACGGUACUGACGCUGAGACGCGAAAGCGUGGGGAGCGAACAGG
rnacentral:rRNA from 1 species